AGGGACCUAGCGUAGUUCGGAAUUACUGGGCUUAAAGAGUUCGUAGGUGGUUGAAAAAGUUGGUGGUGAAAUCCCAGAGCUUAACUCUGGAACUGCCAUCAAAACUUUUCAGCUAGAGUUUGAUAGAGGAAAGUAGAAUUUCUAGUGUAGAGGUGAAAUUCGUAGAUAUUAGAAAGAAUUCCAAUUGCGAAGGCAGCUUUCUGGAUCAUUACUGACACUGAGGAACGAAAGCAUGGGUAGCGAAGAGGAUUAGAUACCCUCGUAGUCCAUGCCGUAAACGAUGUGUGUUAGACGUUGGAAAUUUAUUUUCAGUGUCGCAGCGAAAGCAAUAAACACACCGCCUGGGGAGUACGACCGCAAGGUUAAAACUCAAAUGAAUUGACGGGGACCCGCACAAGUAGUGGAGCAUGUGGUUUAAUUCGAAGAUACGCGCAGAACCUUACCAACACUUGACAUGUUCGUCGCGACUUUAAGAGAUUAAAGUUUUCGGUUCGGCCGGACGAAACACAGGUGCUGCAUGGCUGUCGUCAGCUCGUGUCGUGAGAUGUUGGGUUAAGUCCCGCAACGAGCGCAACCCUCACUUUUAGUUGCCAUCAUUUAGUUGGGCACUCUGAAAGAACUGCCAGUGAUAAGCUGGAGGAAGGUGGGGAUGACGUCAAGUCCUCAUGGCCCUUACGUGUUGGGCUACACACGUGCUACAAUGGUAUCUACAACAGGAAGCAAAACGGCGACGUUAAGCAAAUCCUUAAAAGAUACCUCAGUUCGGAUUGCACUCUGCAACUCGAGUGCAUGAAGCUGGAAUUACUAGUAAUCGUGGAUCAGCGUGCCACGGUGAAUGCGUUCCCGGGUCUUGUACACACCGCCCGUCACACCAUGGGAGUUGGUUCUACCUUAAGGCAAGGUUUAAAACCCUUGACCACGGUAUAGUCAGCGACUGGGGUGAAGUCGUAACAAGGUAGCCGUAGGGGAACCUGCGGCUG
rnacentral:rRNA from 1 species